GGGGUUAUAGCUCAGCUGGGAGAGCGCUUGAAUGGCAUUCAAGAGGUCAUCGGUUCGAUCCCGAUUAGCUCCAC
rnacentral:tRNA from 1 species